AGAGUUUGAUCCUGGCUCAGGACGAACGCUGGCGGCGCGCCUAACACAUGCAAGUCGAACGGAGCUUAGAGAGCUUGCUUUUUAAGCUUAGUGGCGAACGGGUGAGUAACGCGUGAGUAACCUGCCCUGGAGUGGGGGACAACAGUUGGAAACGACUGCUAAUACCGCAUAAGCCCACGGCCCGGCAUCGGGCUGAGGGAAAAGGAUUUAUUCGCUUCAGGAUGGACUCGCGUCCAAUUAGCUAGUUGGUGAGGUAACGGCCCACCAAGGCGACGAUUGGUAGCCGGACUGAGAGGUUGAACGGCCACAUUGGGACUGAGACACGGCCCAGACUCCUACGGGAGGCAGCAGUGGGGGAUAUUGCACAAUGGGGGAAACCCUGAUGCAGCGACGCCGCGUGGAGGAAGAAGGUCUUCGGAUUGUAAACUCCUGUUGUUGAGGAAGAUAAUGACGGUACUCAACAAGGAAGUGACGGCUAACUACGUGCCAGCAGCCGCGGUAAAACGUAGGUCACAAGCGUUGUCCGGAAUUACUGGGUGUAAAGGGAGCGCAGGCGGGAAGACAAGUUGGAAGUGAAAUCUAUGGGCUCAACCCAUAAACUGCUUUCAAAACUGUUUUUCUUGAGUAGUGCAGAGGUAGGCGGAAUUCCCGGUGUAGCGGUGGAAUGCGUAGAUAUCGGGAGGAACACCAGUGGCGAAGGCGGCCUACUGGGCACCAACUGACGCUGAGGCUCGAAAGUGUGGGUAGCAAACAGGAUUAGAUACCCUGGUAGUCCACACCGUAAACGAUGAUUACUAGGUGUUGGAGGAUUGACCCCUUCAGUGCCGCAGUUAACACAAUAAGUAAUCCACCUGGGGAGUACGACCGCAAGGUUGAAACUCAA
rnacentral:rRNA from 1 species